AAAUAUUUCUUUUCUCAAUUCAUUGUAUAAUAGCUAGUGUUCAGGUAUUUUUUAUUAUACUUCUUUACAAGAUAUAUGUGCUGUUAUUUGAUGCUGGAUUGUAAAAAGUUUCUUUCAUUAUUGUCAAAGUUUAGUUUAAAUUGGCUUAUUUAAUAUCAUCUUUAUACUGAUAUAUGUACUAUAAUGUUUGAUUUAUGUAUAUGUGAACCUAGGGGAAAUGGCUUUACAUUUUCAUCCAUUGGAUGUUUUUUUGAUUAUCUUUAGUUAAUGUAUACUUUGGAGAUCCCAAGGGAGGUAAUAGUUCACAUGCAAUGAUUGUUAUAAGACAUUAGAAGCAGGAGUUGCUUCCCUUUAUACAGCUUGUGGCUAUAGAAGCAGUUUUUACCUAAGUAUAAACAUCAUUAUUUAUAUUGUAAUAUGUUAGAGUGUCUCUGUUAUCAUUAAACAAGCAUGAAAACUGGUCAUUUUGUGGUUUUGUAACAGCAUUACUUUUUAAAUAAUUUUGAAGAAAAUUUAAACCAUAAUUAAAUGAAAGUAUUCUAGAAAUGUAGGGCUGUAAGUUGAUUAGGGAAGGGGUGGCCACUCCAUUCCAGGUUAUGAAAAAGAAUAAGAAAAUUAAAAAAAUUGUAAAGCACACAAAAUUUCAUUGAAAGGCAAAUAUUAUUAAUUUAUAUUACUUUUAAUACAUGUGCUACCAUCUAACAUGUCAUAUAUUUAUGAUCUGGGGCAAAAUUUGUUAAAAUUUUGAGUGUCUGUACAUGCUUCUUGGAAGCAAAUUUUAUAAAUUUCUUCUGUACAAGGAAAACAGCAUUCUGAUAACUUCAGUGCUUUCAUGUAAUGUUUUUGUUGCUUUGAAUUUAACCCUUAUCAUGCUGGACAGGAUCAAUUCUGCCUUUGCAACCAGUGUAGAUCAUGAUCAGCCUGCACAUCCGUGCAGUCUGAUCAUGAUCUACACUGUUCGCCAUUCUGUCAGUAUGUUUUUUGGUGAUCACCCCUUUUAACAGUUAAUAGUACUUUCCAAAUUGAAAGAUGGAUAAGUUCAUUAUAGAAAUUUAGCAGGGUAAGGGUUAAAUAGAAGAUCAGUUUUCAUGGAGGGGAUAAUCAUCAACUCUGCACAAGAUACUAUAUAUUUUCAUUUAUAAGACACACUUGUUUAUAAGACGCACCCCAACAUCGCAUAUGCAACCUAGGGUUUCUUUUUCUUUUAAUUCUCUUGUAGUACACCCCACUCUUUGAACUGGAAAUAUGACUGCUAAUAAUGUGUCUUAUAAGUGAAAAAAUACAGUACAUGCUUCUUUAAGUCAAUAUAGUUACCCACAUUUAGCGCUGAAAUAGCGUCAUUAUAUAUUGUUUGUAUAUAGUAAAUACUCAUUGUACCAAAGCAGAUUAUUUAUUGUUCAUUAUGUCUCUAUUGUUGUUUACAUUUCUGUAUAAAUGUAUAUUCUCAGCUAUUUCCAUUUUUAUAAUUAUAAUAUUUACUACUUUAUGUAAUUGAACCCGUGUAGAUGUAAUUUCCCAUUAAGCUAUAUUGAUGUAUGUCUUAUUAAAGAUACCCAGGUAUUUUUCUGUUAUUUCACCAAAAUUUAAACACUUAUGACAAUAGAUGAUUUAUAACUUGAGUGAUAAAUGGUAAUUAAUAUGUUUACGUAUAAAAAAAACAACAGCACAAUGAUGCAUUGUCGCUGUAGUAGAUGAAUUGAUUUUUCUGUACAUUAAUACAGAUUCUGCCCAGCAUUGUGGCUGCAAACCAGUCUUGCUGCAGAGAAAAAUAGGAUUUUAUGCAUUUUCUCUGAAUAGCACUUAUUUCUCAAAUUAGUUUUUUUUGCAUUUUCAUAUUUAGCUAGAGAAACUUAAGGUCUCAUCGGAGUCUUAAAUCUUUGCUUUGGUGCUUCUUAAUACUGCUGUACAUUUACAAAAACGAAUUGAUUUUAUAUCCUAGUUUUGUAACAUUUAUAUUGUAUAGAUUUUGCCUAUUGUCAAGGAAGUAAGAAAUGGCCUAAAAAAAUUAUUUCAUAAAUCCCAUUAUAGAAACAUAUUAAGAUUAUUAUAUUGUAUAUUGCAAUACAAGAUGUAAAUGCAUUAUACAGGUAGGGAUCAACCUAAUUAUCAUCCUCAAUAUCAUCGUCAUCAGCAUCAGUAUUAUAACCACUAUCAUCAACAUCAUUAUCAUCAUCACCAUCAUCUUUUAAAACAUUCAAUUGUCAAUAUUCAGUUUUGAAAAUGGCUUGCCCAACUGUGUCGCCUCUAUAAAUAAAGUCGUUAUUAUUAUUAUUAUUAAUUCAAUUGUUAUUAAUCCAGCAUCAUUAUUAGUCAAAUAUUAUGUUAGAAUCCUCAUCACAUCAUCAUCACAUCACAUCAUCAUCAUCAAUGUCAUCAAUUUUAUCAUUCUGUAUGUUGUUGCAAAUUGGUAUUUCCAGCGUCAAUGAGAUUAGUUUUGUAAAAGAAAUCUUGCCUAGUUGAUUGUUGUUAAGAAAUGAACCCUAGUACCAACAUUCAUCAUCAUCAUCAUCAUCAUCAUCUUCUUCAUCAUCAUCAUUCAUGUGAUGUUUACUUUUCUGAUGGUGCUUAGUGCUGACCAAUGGAAAUCUCAUUUUGCUUUGUUAGUAUAGUUAAACAUGAUAGUUUAUAUAUUUUGUUGUAACUAAAUUAUCUACGUCAUUUUGAUGCUAUAUGAUUUGUUGAUUAAAAAUCUUUCCUAUGAUUUUAUGUCUAAUUGAAGGAAGAACCACUCGAAACAUUAAAUACACUGAAAGAUAUUUCAAGGUCUGAUCAUUAUUUGAAAAUUAAUAUCAGUGUAAAGUUUCUUUCUCUGCGUCUGAAAAUGUUAAUACAGAUCUUUUUUUUAUAUUCAUAAGGUAAAAGUUAUGUGUUUAAAAUUAACUUUAAAUUUCAGUUUUGCAAGAUGUUUAGCUUUAUUCAACAGCAUAAUUUCUUAUACUUUUUCUAGUAUGUUUGUAACUUUUUUCUUAGAAGUGAAUUCUAAAUAUGCAGUUUUGAAAAUGGAUCAUUUUGUUCUUGAAAAGGAAUGAUAUUUCAAAAUAUAAACAGAUGGGUCAUCUUCAUGCGACACUUGACAAUUUUACAAAGUUUGUUUUUGUUCUUAUUUUGUUGAGAUCAUACUAUAGGUUGAAGUUUAAGUAAAGUGUUAUCCAGUCAUGUUUCUUGCAGAACUGUGUAUGCCUGUUGUACACAUGUUUAUAUUGACUGCUUUCGAAACUACAGUCAGAUAGCUUGCCGAGCAUCAUUGACUUGAGCACCAAGGCUCGCUCAAGUAAUUUGAAUGGUCCUUGACUGUUCCAUAUAAUAUUAUUUUCCAUGUUAGAAUUGCUGGACAACUGGAUAACUCCCAACAUUUUGUGCAUCCACUUUGACUUCAGUUGAUCUAUAUUUUACUGUAUUUAUUAUUUUGAUACAAACUUUGUUCUUUGUACAAAUAUUAUAUGGUUAUUUUUGUUCUCUAGAUCACAUUAAAAUCUUUAAAUCUA